UGCGCAGGCGGUCUUGCAAGACAGGUGUGAAAUCCCCGGGCUUAACCUGGGAACUGCACUUGUGACUGCAAGGCUGGAGUACGGCAGAGGGGGAUGGAAUUCCGCGUGUAGCAGUGAAAUGCGUAGAUAUGCGGAGGAACACCGAUGGCGAAGGCAAUCCCCUGGGCCUGUACUGACGCUCAUGCACGAAAGCGUGGGGAGCAAACAGGAUUAGAUACCCCCGUA
rnacentral:rRNA from 1 species